rnacentral:misc_RNA from 1 species
GUACUCUCACACUUCUGAUCUUUUGGAUUGGGAGCGGUGGACUUGGGUGUUGCUGCUUUGCGGUGGCUCGCCUCAAAUGCAUUAGUGCAACUCUUGGUUAGACAUAGUACGGCGUGAUAAGUAUCUUCGCCGGCACCUCGCAAGAGGGUGGCUGAUCAGGAGCUCUGUGCUUCCAACAGUCUGUAUUCAGACAACAACUGACA